rnacentral:rRNA from 1 species
UGAACGCUGGCGGCGUGCUUAACACAUGCAAGUCGAACGAGAAAGUCUUUGCUUGCAAAGACGAGUAGAGUGGCGCACGGGUGAGUAACACGUAGAUAAUCUGCCUUCAAAUUUGGGAUAACUAUUCGAAAGGAUAGCUAAUACCGGAUAAAGUUUAUCAACCUAAGUUGAUUUAUGAAAGAUUGCCUCUUCUUGAAAGCAAUUGUUUGGAGAUGAGUCUGCGCACCAUUAGCUAGUUGGUGGGGUAAUGGCCUACCAAGGCAUCGAUGGUUAGCUGGUCUGAGAGGAUGAUCAGCCACACUGGAACUGAAACACGGUCCAGACUCCUACGGGAGGCAGCAGUGAGGAAUUUUGCGCAAUGGGGGUAACCCUGACGCAGCAACGCCGCGUGAGUGAAGAAGGCCUUUGGGUCGUAAAGCUCUGUCAACUGGGAAGAAGUUAUAAUUAUCCAAUAGGUAGUUAUAUUGACGGUACCAGUGGAGGAAGCGCCGGCUAACUCC